UGCAAGUCGAGCGGGGAAGUAUAGCUUGCUAUACGACCUAGCGGCGGACGGGUGAGUAAUGCUUAGGAAUCUGCCUAUUAGUGGGGGACAACAUUCCGAAAGGAAUGCUAAUACCGCAUACGCCCUACGGGGGAAAGCAGGGGAUCUUCGGACCUUGCGCUAAUAGAUGAGCCUAAGUCAGAUUAGCUAGUUGGUGGGGUAAAGGCCUACCAAGGCGACGAUCUGUAGCGGGUCUGAGAGGAUGAUCCGCCACACUGGGACUGAGACACGGCCCAGACUCCUACGGGAGGCAGCAGUGGGGAAUAUUGGACAAUGGGCGAAAGCCUGAUCCAGCCAUGCCGCGUGUGUGAAGAAGGCCUUUUGGUUGUAAAGCACUUUAAGCGAGGAGGAGGCUACCGAGAUUAAUACUCUUGGAUAGUGGACGUUACUCGCAGAAUAAGCACCGGCUAACUCUGUGCCAGCAGCCGCGGUAAUACAGAGGGUGCGAGCGUUAAUCGGAUUUACUGGGCGUAAAGCGUGCGUAGGCGGCUUUUUAAGUCGGAUGUGAAAUCCCUGAGCUUAACUUAGGAAUUGCAUUCGAUACUGGGAAGCUAGAGUAUGGGAGAGGAUGGUAGAAUUCCAGGUGUAGCGGUGAAAUGCGUAGAGAUCUGGAGGAAUACCGAUGGCGAAGGCAGCCAUCUGGCCUAAUACUGACGCUGAGGUACGAAAGCAUGGGGAGCAAACAGGAUUAGAUACCCUGGUAGUCCAUGCCGUAAACGAUGUCUACUAGCCGUUGGGGCCUUUGAGGCUUUAGUGGCGCAGCUAACGCGAUAAGUAGACCGCCUGGGGAGUACGGUCGCAAGACUAAAACUCAAAUGAAUUGACGGGGGCCCGCACAAGCGGUGGA
rnacentral:rRNA from 1 species